rnacentral:rRNA from 1 species
GAUGAACGCUGGCGGCGUGCCUAAUACAUGCAAGUCGAGCGAACAGACGAGGAGCUUGCUCCUCUGACGUUAGCGGCGGACGGGUGAGUAACACGUGGAUAACCUACCUAUAAGACUGGGUUAACUUCGGGAAACCGGAGCUAAUACCGGAUAAUAUAUUGAACCGCAUGGUUCAAUAGUGAAAGACGGUUUUGCUGUCACUUAUAGAUGGAUCCGCGCCGCAUUAGCUAGUUGGUAAGGUAACGGCUUACCAAGGCAACGAUGCGUAGCCGACCUGAGAGGGUGAUCGGCCACACUGGAACUGAGACACGGUCCAGACUCCUACGGGAGGCAGCAGUAGGGAAUCUUCCGCAAUGGGCGAAAGCCUGACGGAGCAACGCCGCGUGAGUGAUGAAGGUCUUCGGAUCGUAAAACUCUGUUAUUAGGGAAGAACAAAUGUGUAAGUAACUAUGCACGUCUUGACGGUACCUAAUCAGAAAGCCACGGCUAACUACGUG